rnacentral:rRNA from 1 species
UACGUAGGGAGCAAGCGUUGUUCGGAUUUACUGGGCGUAAAGGGCGCGUAGGCGGUCGUGACAAGUCACUUGUGAAAUCUCCGGGCUUAACUCGGAACGGUCAAGUGAUACUGUCGGACUAGAGUACAGAAGGGGCAACUGGAAUUCUCGGUGUAGCGGUGAAAUGCGUAGAUAUCGAGAGGAACACCUGCGGCGAAGGCGGGUUGCUGGGCUGAUACUGACGCUGAGGCGCGAAAGCUAGGGGAGCGAACGGG